CCCCCCGAACCGGCAACCUUUGGGGCAUCNCAGGCGGCCAAGGCAGAACAAUCCCGGGCAAAAUCAAAAAUGCCGGGGACCCAAAAUUCCAAAACCGGAUACCCUUAAAUUGAAUCCCCGGCUUAAAAGGCCUGGAUUUAAGGGGGAAUUCCAAGGGGUUUUAAUCGGAAAUUCGGGUUUCGAAUUGGGGGGGAUGCCCAAUUUUACCUUGCCUUAGGAUUAACCGGAAUUGGAAGGAUAAUGCAAUUGUUUGGGUAAGUUUGGUAGAUUUGGGAAAGGUGGCCGAAAGGAAGAAGGCGAAAAAUUGUAGGGACCGAAUAAAAGGUCAAACGGAUGAAGGGCUAACCUGCGGCUGAGAAACCCUGACCCGAAUCCCAUGUCAAGGCUAAAUGAUCCCUGGCCAGGUAAGUCGACUCAAAUGCAGCCAACCGGGAUUGGAAGUCGGACCGAAACGGCGAUCCGAUAAAUGGGCAAGUCGAUGGCAAAACCUGUUAAUUAUCCAGGUACCGACUUAUUUCGAUAGGGUGAACGGAGUAGUGAAAGGAUACUGCGUACAGACGAAUAGUACGUUGAAGCAAUGUAGGUAAUCAAAUUGNAGGUUGCAAUCCGCAAGAUUUUGCUGAACUGUCGAAUCAGUAGCCACAAAUCKWCURGAGMUACSSAUWGKMSKRGGGGGAGUCAAAUCCUACCAAAUCCAGACGAACUCCGAAUGCUGAUAAAUAUACCCCGCAGUGAGGGCUUGGGUGCUAAGGUCCAAGUCCGAGAGGGAAAGAACCCAGACCUACAGCUAAGGUCCCUAAAUUUGUACUAAGUUGAACUAAGGAGGUUCAGCUGCUUAGACAGCCAGGAUGUUGGCUUGGAAGCAGCCAUUCAUUUAAAGAGUGCGUAACAGCUCACURGUCGAGCGGCAGAGCAUCGAUAAUAAUCGGGCAUCAAGUACAAUACCGAAGCUUAGGAUCAUUUAUGAUGGUAGGGGAGCAUUCUCUGUACGGUGAAGAUACAAUGUGAAUUGUGUUGGAGUGCAGAGAAGAGCAAAUGUAGGCAUAAGUAACGAUAAGGCAGGUGAGAAACCUGCCCACCGAUAGACUAAGGAUUCCCUGGCAAUGCUAAUCAGCCAGGGGUUAGUCGGGACCUAAGGCGAACCCGAAAGGGGAAGUCGAUGGAAAACUGGUUAAUAUUCCAGUACCACCUUUAUUUCGAUGGGGUGACGGAGUAGUGAAAGUACUGCGUACUGACGGAAUAGUACGUUGAAGCAUGUAGGUAUAAAAUUUGUAGGUAAAUCCGCAGAUUUUGCUGAAUGUGAUAGUACCACAAAUCUUCGGAUGCGUGGAUAAUGUACCUAAACAGACUUCCAAGAAAACCUCUAAGGCAUGGAUAAAAGGUGCUCGUAACCGCGAAACCGACACAGGUAGGUCAAGGAGAACGAAUCCGUGAGGUGCUCGAGUAGAUUCAUGGUUAAGGAAACUAGGCAAAUAGCCUGUAACUUCGGGAGAAGGGGCUCCUAAUUUAAUUAGGACGCAGUGAAAAGACCCAGGCGACUGUUUAUCAAAAACACAUGACUGUGCGAACUUGAAAGAGGAUGUAUACGGUCUGACACCUGCCCGGUGCUGGAAGGUAUGGGAGGGGAGUUAUCUUCGGAAAAGCUCUGAACUGAAGCCCCAGUAAACGGCGGCCGUAACUAUAACGGUCCUAAGGUAGCGAAAUUCCUUGUCGGGUAAGUUCCGACCUGCACGAAUGGUGCAACGAUCUGGGUACUGUCUCAACCAUGAGCUCGGUGAAAUUGUAGUUCCGGUGAAGAUGCCGGAUACCCGCAACGGGACGGAAAGACCCCGAGUC
rnacentral:rRNA from 1 species